CUCUAAAUGAUGAAAAUCUUUCUUUAUUAAAUAACGUUUUAGGCGGUUUGGAGUAGAUGUUUUCUGCACCGCUCUAUGCGCUGGUCCAGCCUCCACUGGCCAGAAGCUCUACUCACAGCACUGUGUGCAGCAAGCUUACUAACCUGCCACACCAUUAACCCAGACAGUGACAGCACGGCACUGAUUGGCGGCUGUGCUGUUUUGCUCCUCCUUCUGACUGGCAUGGUUUCCAUGGCAGCUCUCCAGCAGCUGAGGAGUUGUGAGAUGCCCCGGCGAGUGGAAAGACUGCUGAACUCGUUGCAGAGUAAUAUUCUUCACAAACACUUCACAAACACACUACUAUUCUAAUGUCAGACUGAUACAAAUACAGUAAUACCCAGCCUACUACAAUGGGGUACCACAGCAACCACUAGAGCAACACACUAGUAACCACCUGAAAUACCACAGCAACCACAGUAGCAAUCAUCAAGAAACACCUUAGCACCCACAUUUCAUCACAUCAGCAACCACCUGAGACAUGAUAGCAACCACUUACAAUACCAGUGCAACCAACAUAUUCACUUUUCCUGCUGUACUAUAUUGCUCAAUUAGGAAAGUAUUUAAACCUGCCUAGGAGAGCACUGAUUAGAGAAGCAGCAAUGAGGCCCAUGGUCACUCUGGAGGAGCUGCAGAAAUCCACAGCUCCACAGAGAAAUCCACAGAGGAGGACUCAGCAAAACAUGUGGAAGAAGGUGCUGUGGUCAGAUUGAAAGUGCUAUUUGUGACAGAAAAGUAAUACUGCCCAUCACUCGGAACAUAGUGUCUCCACUGUAAAACAUGGUGGUGGCAGCAUUAAGUGUACAUUAUGUUUUUAUUAAUUCUUAAUUUUAUUAAUUGAUCUCAUGCUUGAAGAGAUUUGAAUAGAUAAUUGAUGUAUACAUACUGAGUCAAGUGUAAUGUUCUUAUUGGGCACAGAGAUCUUGCAUCAUCCUCCCUCUGAUUGGCUGGGAGGCACAGAAGACCUGUUUGCACCGUCCUCCCCAGCUAUGUCCCUGCAGUGGACCUACCGGGAUGGCCGAUUGGUCAACAUGCCUGUCAGUCUGCUGGUGGAAGGUGACAUAAUCUCUCUGCGUCCAGGAAACGAGGCCCCCACUGAGCUAAGGGGCAUUCAGGUCAGGGUUGCCAUGUCUAAAAAAAAAUAAAAAAAAAAUUGUAUGUAUUUUUUUUCUCA
rnacentral:lncRNA from 1 species